UUAUUUUCCAUUAUUUCUUUUUGGCAUACAGGGCGUGUGCUUUUACGUUUCAACAAAUCACUGAUCAGUGAUCACAUGAUGCUGAAAUAUGAUCUGUGAAAUCGAUGUGAUUUUUCUGUCGGGAAACUCUAUCAAUCCUGUAUGGAGUUGUUGUUUCUAGUCAGGUCCUAAUCCACAUUGGAGACGGCGACCAUUCACAUUCGGAGCAGAUGAAAAACUGGAAGCUGGUGUGCAGCAGGAUGUGAAACGUUUUGAAAGGAGCUGCACUGGUGUUGUCAGUCUGCAGGAACGUGAGUGCCGUACUGAUGCCUGUUUGCGAAUUAAAGGCCUAUUGAUGCGGGAUGACCUGCUUGAAGAGGAUUUGGAGUGGAGGGCCCUUCACACUCCCUCUUUCAAAUCCACCCAAAUAAAGCUCUUUAGGGCCUGAAAGUGGCCCCUGCCACCCCCCCUUCCCCCAGCUCAAAAGCCCAACACGAUUGUCAUGGAUAUUACACCACGCAGGCAACAGCAGACCGAGGAGACAAGUGUCGAUCGGAAAACAAAACUCAAGCAGUCUUUUUCCGCUGGCUGGGCCAGGGGAUGUUGACAGGCCAGUGAAAAGGUUGUUUAACCCUUUGAAAGUGAAUGGAUGGGACCCUGAGACAAACACAUUCUGAUAGAGCGUGGCCCCUCCGGGAGCCCCAGAGUACACUAAACCCUCUAAGAGAGACAGGGAAGAACAGAGUGAACUGAAAACAAGAAGGGAUGAGAGAAAAAGAAAAAGAAAGAGAAAGUGCAUGUCUGUGCCAGAUUAGAUCAACUCAAAGUCCUCAUGUUUAGUACCAAGUUCCUUCUGUUGCGGCUCUGAUUGGUGUAAACAUCUGACAUGCCAUGUGCACAAAUCUGUGUUGGCCGAGCGGGAUAUAUAAGAGGCAUAUUGUUUUAUUUAAAUUUCAAGCUAUAUGAAUUAAGACACACAGGUACGUUAUCCCACUUGGCCAGCUACUGGUUAUUGAGAUAGUUUGAAACUACGUUUUUGUGCAUUUUUAUUUCUCAAAUUACCCACGAUAUGAUUACUAUUAAAAAUGCAACAGUGGUCCUUAAAGGGAAAGAAAACAUCGUGUUUUUUUAAAGGGAAAGAAAACAUAGUUUCCCCAAAAACUGCACAAAUA
ensembl:lncRNA